rnacentral:rRNA from 1 species
AGCGAACGCUGGCGGCAGGCCUAAUACAUGCAAGUCGAGCGCACCUUCGGGUGAGCGGCGGACGGGUGAGUAACGCGUGGGAACGUGCCCUUUGGUACGGAACAACUGAGGGAAACUUCAGCUAAUACCGUAUGUGCCCUUCGGGGGAAAGAUUUAUCGCCAUUGGAGCGGCCCGCGUUGGAUUAGGUAGUUGGUGAGGUAAAGGCUCACCAAGCCUACGAUCCAUAGCUGGUCUGAGAGGAUGAUCAGCCACACUGGGACUGAGACACGGCCCAGACUCCUACGGGAGGCAGCAGUAGGGAAUCUUGCGCAAU